rnacentral:misc_RNA from 1 species
AAUUUCACUCAUUAUAAUGAAACAAAUAUUUCGGAUCAUCGCUAAAUAAUACUGUUUUCAAGCAGUAUUGUGUUCCUGUUGGCGAGUAAGGUGACCAGAGCUCCAGGGGGGGAUUGGGGAUUGGGUCAGCAACGCGCUUGCGAUGCUUCUGGUGUUGCAGGUGUCUAUAAGCUACGGUAAUCUCUUACCAUCAGGUGAGCCGUA